AGUGACAAUGAAGACUGAGGUGUCUGCUUUGCAGUUUUUUUUUUUCUUUUCUUGUCUUUUUUUUUUUUUUUCCUAAUCAUGUGGACAUCUCUGAGAAUGAGGGGACUGGGUGACUUUGCAGUGUCUGCUUUCUAAGUUUCAAAGUGACUUUCCAGGCAAGCUGCGCAUAUCUUGGGAUCUUCACAGCACAGUGGCUGGGAAGGCAGGCGGACCCGUCUAUCAGCUUCUCCCUGGUGGGAUUCUUGCGGGGGCAGGGAUCGAGUCAAACCUUGGAAAUGACGUCAUUCUGAACUCAUCUGCCUUUAUCCAGAAGACUACCAAAGCAAACCAGAGGACCAGAGAACAGCAGCUGCUCUGGACAAAGAGGGGAGGACACCCACACCCACAUACCAAGUUCUGGUUGACUUCUACAGCAGAAGAAGCAGGAGACACAAGAAGGGGAAGACACAAGGAAGCUGGGCAUGAUGGCCAAGUGUUAGAGGGUUACACUACUGCCUUCUGCUUCUGAUCUGAUUGAGUCACAGCUGAGAUGUGGCACCAGGACUCUUGGCUACACUCAGUUCUCUCAGUUUGACUGAGUACUCUGGGAUCACAGAAGUGACUACAUGAUGGUAAGAGUGGGGCUGAGGAAUACUCCAGUCCAGCAUUUUUCCACCCCAUGUAUGAAUGAGGGCUGUAGAGACCUAGGCUUUGUAAGUUGGCCUCGCUUGUCAACUUGAUUGGAUCUGGGAUCAACUAAGAGACAUGCCUAUGGGUGGGUUUGCAGGAAUAUUUCCUGGAAGGAUUAACAGAAGGAGAAAAACCUCCCUUCUCCUCAACACACACACACACAUACACACUGGACAGCCCCUUCCUUCCAGCAGCAGCCCAGAGGUCUGAACUCAAAGCUUCUGCCUGCCUACCUUAUCUCACUGCUGGCAAAUGCAUCCCCUCUGCUCCACCCAUCCCUGACAUUGGAACACCGGAGUCCAGGUUCUUUGGACUGAAAACCCACAGCUCUCCAGGAAUCCUCUAAGCCUUCAGCGCCAUGUUGGGACUGUUAAGGCACCCAGCUUCAUGAACAGUGAGGUUAUGGGAUUCUAGCACGCAGUUGGCCAUUGUUGGACUACCCACACAGAAUUGUGUGAGCCAAUCUGAUAAAUUGAUAGAUCCCUCCCCCGGGUGCGUGUGUUCUACUGGUUCUGUUUCUCUAGAGACCUUGAUUAGUAUAUAAGCCAAAUACCAGAGUACAUACCAGAGUCUCCCAAGUGUCAGCUAAACAUAGACAUCUGUAACCUCAAUCAUUGCUCUAGUGACUUCUUUGGAGCAUCCUCCCUCUGUGGACAUUUUCCAACUGGACAUUGAGGCUGGCUUCCAUUGAGCUUACCACGACCUCCCUGACCCAAGCCCUUGCAGACUGGACCAUUCUCUGACCUCUUGGGUGUCUUUCCUCACCCUGCAGCAUGCUAAUGGUCCCCAAUGGUCUUCCUGAAGCUGACUCUUUGGAUUUAGCACCCCCUUUAUCCCACUGGUUACCAGCCCCACAAGGCAGUCAUGGCCUCCCAGUUGUACUCUGUAAGAAGCCUUUCAAAAUUUGUCCUCAGCACAAAUCGAAUACAUCCCCUCCUCCUCCAUCCCGCCAUGAUACAGGGUUAUGUUUUCAAUGGAGAGAUGGGCAUGAAAGGGGAUCUUUCAGGUUUGAAUUGUGACUUGGUUCACAUAAAUCACUGCCCACUCCACUCUUAUAGUCUCUGUGUGGAAUCAAAGAUUCAAACUUCUCCAUGCAUCUCAGUGCCCUUUUUAAUAUCUCUAGGUCUCUCCAAGGAAUUAGCAUAACUGGGCCUGCUAGGUGACUCAAGCCACCCUUUCUGACUCAUUCCUUAAGCCAGAUUCACAGGAUGGCUUCUCAUUGUUGUCAAGGUGAAGAAGGUCUCAAUCCUCCCACUGCCUAAGUGGGCAAGGUCCCCAGGAUGGGGGAGAGAGAUUUGGAGGAAGGCUGGGAACUUCUUAAGGCCUGCAUUGCUUAUCUAAAGCUAAUUAAAAAGCUCUAUUGUUUCC
rnacentral:lncRNA from 1 species